rnacentral:lncRNA from 1 species
UUUUCUGAAUAAAGAAUAUGAAUUUAUAUAUGUAAGCAGACAUAUUCUGCUGCACAGAUGUGGUGAAGUUAUGAGAGGCACAGGGAACAGAAACAGCAGGACCGCAAGGAAAAAGGCAUAAAUAGCUUUGUUGUCAAUUUAAUGGGUUUAAAGAAUCUAGCUUUUAGUUCCAAAAAGGCUGAAACCAACUGGCAACAACUGAAAUAUGGGACAUUUUCAAUGAGAACAAUCCAAUAUAAGCACAAUAUUGUACCAUUGUAUCAUAUUCUAAAGUAAGGAGAGACAACAAAUAGUUCAGACAACCUAGCACUGAUGUCCCAAAAUGCCAUAAUCACAGCUGGCUGAGAACUGAAUUCAGCACUGUAAUUAUUAUAGAGACAAGCAAUUCGCUGAACUCUUGAUUAUGGGCAUCAUCAUUCAUAUAAUGAGGUUCUUGUCUCUGUACCUAACACACAACUUGGAAAGGAAAAGUGAUAACUUCAAGUUUUCCCAUUUGCUUUCUUAACAAUGCCAGUAACCCAUCCAACCCAACCAUAUCAGAUUGCAAUUCAGGGCUCCAAAGUCAUAACUGUCACAUCCCGACCCUUAUAUUUUUACCUUAUUUACUAGCGUGAUUAUAAUAAGAAUUUUACCGUCUCGAUCUUUGAGUAAAUAGUUUAAUUGGUCCCUAGAGGGGUUUCGGGGACGAUUAUGUGCGGAGGAUUAUUCGUAUGAGGAAAAUCGACGACGGUAAAAAUGGGUAAUUUUAGCUAGUAAAAGGUAUUUUUAUCGGGUAUUAUUUUUCGGGGUGUUUUUAUUUUGGAAGUUUUGGGUUAAAAGGGAGUGUUGGGUCGGCUGGGCCGAGCCUAACCCAUUUCUUCCUCCUUUCUCUCUCUCUCCCUCCCGUUUUCUCUCUUCCCACCCGAUUUUCUUCUCUCUACACCCAGCAGAAUUCCGGCCGUCCUCCCGCCGUCGUCCGGCCGCCCCAGACCGCCGCACCGGUUCCAAUCGAUCGACCUCAACCCAGCAGCCUUCCUGGACCGGUGAGAGGAGCCCUAGCUCCGCCGUGAGAGAGCGGUGCCACCCGAAAGCUUCGACUGCCGAAUCGGUUUUUUCGCCGGAACUUCCUCCUCCGGCCACCAAUCCGGGCAAGCUUGGUACGGUUUUGUAGCCCUCCUCCCGUGCAACAACCCCUCCAAGCAGCUCCCUCCCUCUUGAGCUAGGUAAGGAGAAAUGUGGAGUUGAAAUUUCUAGGCUUUUAAGUUAUUUUCGUUCGAUUAGCCUAGUUAGGCUUGGAAUUGGGUGAUGUGUUGGUCAUGAAAGUUGUAGAGGAGAUUGAGAGGAAGAUUCUGUUAAAAUUUGGUAGCGUUUGCAGGUCGCCGGAAAACGGCUGCCGGCCGCCGCUACCGGCGGAGCCGCCGGCGGCGGCGCCGCCGGUUGGGAGAUUUUAAUGUUGUUAAAUGUGGAAUAUUAAGAGGAGUAUAUUGGUGUAAUUUAUGGAAUUUUUGGAUGAGAUUUGGAUAGGUUUGUGAAUUUCCGAAGUUUGGUAUUUUUGGCGGUUAAUUAAUGUAGAAUCCGGCCGUAGGAUUUAAGUCGUAUUUUGAGGAGGUUGUAUUUACGACUAUUGAGUAUGAUAUUUAAGUUCGGAUCGUUCCGAUGUAAGAAUAUCGAAGUUAGGCAAUGAUAAGCGUAAUUAUGGCUCUCGGGUAAUUUUGCCUAUUUUGAUUAAAUAUUGGAUUAUUGGAUGGGAAAUUAAUAUUUUAUUUGGAACAGGACGUGAGGAGGCUCGAGCAGACGAGACCCCAGAUCGACAGCAGGCUUAGGCCUAAUUUGUGAGUGGACGUUUAUUUUAAAUAAAUGCAUGCUAAAGUUCACGAUUGAAUAAUUAAUGUCGUGGAGUAUUUUACCGUCAAUUAAUUUUGACGCUUUUAUUUCUCUGAGAGAGAGUUACCGAAAAUGGGAUUUUCGGUGAAUAUAAAUAUGUAUAUAUGAGAGAGUAUGUAUAAAAAAUGCUAGCUAGCCAUAUGUGUCUGUCCACCUUAAUGGCGUAGCAUAUAGCCGCAU